GUCACCUGGAUGCCCACAACGAUGUUCCCAUCUGUGGUUAAGUCCACUUGUCUCUCUGGGGAUGCCGCUGAUGGCAUGGCUGACUGGCUCUCCUCGCUGCUCCCAAAGACCCUGGAUGUGGUGGCACACCCAACAUCACACACCGGUCCCGGCGGCUGGUUCACAAGGGAGUAUUUCUUCCUCCAAGAGUGAGCUCGGCGCAGCUGGAAGUCCCUGGGAGGCUGCAGCUGGGGGUACCGGGCUGAGAACGCUCCCCUCCUACUGAAUGGGGGCUGUGUGGUGUUGUUCCACAUCCGUGGGGCAGAAGACAGCGGUCGCGGCACGUCCCCAUGGGUGUUCCUGUGGUUGUCUAUGAGACCCUGCAGCAGCCGGAUCUCCCUCCGCAGCCUCUCCCUUUCCUCCAUCCCUGCAACGUUCCCGCAACGCCCCACACACGUUACGUCAUCACCCC
rnacentral:lncRNA from 1 species